CCUACGGGAGACAGCAGUGAGGAAUAUUGGUCAAUGGCCGCAGGGCUGAACCAGCCAAGUCGCGUGAGGGAUGACGGUCCUAUGGAUUGUAAACCUCUUUUGUCAGGGAGCAAAGGGCGCCACGUGUGGCGCUUUGCGAGUACCUGAAGAAAAAGCAUCGGCUAACUCCGUGCCAGCAGCCGCGGUAAUACGGAGGAUGCGAGCGUUAUCCGGAUUUAUUGGGUUUAAAGGGUGCGCAGGCGGAAUGUCAAGUCAGCGGUAAAAUUUCGGGGCUCAACCCCGUCGUGCCGUUGAAACUGGCGUUCUUGAGUGAGCGAGAAGUAUGCGGAAUGCGUGGUGUAGCGGUGAAAUGCAUAGAUAUCACGCAGAACUCCGAUUGCGAAGGCAGCAUACCGGCGCCCAACUGACGCUGAAGCACGAAAGCGUGGGUAUCGAACAGGAUUAGAUACCCUGGUAGUC
rnacentral:rRNA from 1 species